ACAGAAUCAGAAUUCAAGAAGAGGAUUAAUCGCUCGUCUUCUCUCCAAGAUCAUAUCGAACAAUUUCAUACCAUAUAGAAAGAUGGUGUGCAUAUUUUGCUUAAUACCUCUGUUCUUGGUCCCCAUCGUCAACAUAUUGCCUCUGCUCUUCGAUUAUAUCGUGGGAAAAGUUUAUCGGCUUUUUGGAUGGGAAUACAGAAAACCAGAGCGGGCACCUCCGGCUUGUCCUUACAAGCCCUUGCCCAAAAAAGAUAGCCCCGGCAAAGUUGAGGCAGAAGGUGAACCUGGUGUACAGGAGCCUGUUUCAGGAUCUGCUGAAGUAGCAGAUGGCAAACUGGACUGAAAAUUAAAGAGUAUUGCUUGUGCGUGAAAGUCAAAUUUCAAAAGGUCCUGAGGUUUUUUAACAUAAAGCUUCUUGAGUUAUUGUUCAGGGUAAAGGAAACUCGUACCAUAAUAUGCGUCUCGCUCUUUCUCUCUAGCUUAUGUUUUGUAAUUGAAGGUACAAUAAUUUCAGGAGUUGUUGAAAUAGAGAGCAUUCUCUUUUUUAGUUUCUUCUCUAGCCAGCAAAAUUUAAUCUGCAAGUCUUUUCCCCCCACCCCACCCCAAACCCCAUUUUAUUCAGCCCAUCAUCGAGUAUAAAACCUUCAUGCUUCUUUGUUUUCAUCAUCUAGUAAUAAUAGUACUUGAGAAAAGGCUGAGAUAGAAGAGAGAAUUUUAUAGGGUUGCAAUUAUCACAAUAGAACCAUUUGAGAUUGAUAUAGCAAACUUUUGGCCUUUUCUUGUUUAAAUUGUUUAAUGAUGAGAUUUGAGUGGGCAUCCUAUGAAAAAAGUGUGAUGUCUA
rnacentral:misc_RNA from 1 species